CAGUAGCCACGGGAAUACAGAGGGUGCAAGCGUUAAUCGGAAUUACUGGGCGUAAAGCGUGCGUAGGCGGCUUUUUAAGUCGGAUGUGAAAUCCCUGAGCUUAACUUAGGAAUUGCAUUCGAUACUGGGAAGCUAGAGUAUGGGAGAGGAUGGUAGAAUUCCAGGUGUAGCGGUGAAAUGCGUAGAGAUCUGGAGGAAUACCGAUGGCGAAGGCAGCCAUCUGGCCUAAUACUGACGCUGAGGUACGAAAGCAUGGGGAGCAAACAGGAUUAGAUACCCCUGUAGUCCCUGUCUCUUAUAU
rnacentral:rRNA from 1 species